GCUCACUUUGGUAGCACAGUUGCUAAAGCUGGAACAAUACAGACGAGAUUAGCAUGGUCCCUGUGCAAGAGUGAACACAGUUUCAAUGACAGCUGUUUGUAGUAAUU